GAUCGGGGACACCACUGGAAACGGUGGCUAAUACCGGAUGUGCCGAAAGGUGAAAGAUUUAUUGCCUAGAGAUGAGCUCGCGUCUGAUUAGCUAGUUGGUGUGGUAAGAGCGCACCAAGGCGACGAUCAGUAGCUGGUCUGAGAGGAUGAUCAGCCACACUGGGACUGAGACACGGCCCAGACUCCUACGGGAGGCAGCAGUGGGGAAUUUUCCGCAAUGGGCGAAAGCCUGACGGAGCAAUACCGCGUGAGGGAGGAAGGCUCUUGGGUUGUAAACCUCUUUUCUCAGGGAAUAAGAAAGUGAAGGUACCUGAGGAAUAAGCAUCGGCUAACUCCGUGCCAGCAGCCGCGGUAAUACGGAGGAUGCAAGCGUUAUCCGGAAUGAUUGGGCGUAAAGCGUCCGCAGGUGGCACUGUAAGUCUGCUGUUAAAGAGCAAGGCUCAACCUGGUAAAGGCAGUGGAAACUACAGAGCUAGAGUACGUUCGGGGCAGAGGGAAUUCCUGGUGUAGCGGUGAAAUGCGUAGAGAUCAGGAAGAACACCGGUGGCGAAAGC
rnacentral:rRNA from 2 species